rnacentral:rRNA from 1 species
CAGUCGCCGCGGGAAUACGGAGGGGGCUAGCGUUGUUCGGAAUUACUGGGCGUAAAGCGCACGUAGGCGGCUUGGUAAGUUAGAGGUGAAAGCCCGGAGCUCAACUCCGGAAUUGCCUUUAAGACUGCCGAGCUAGUAGGUGAGAGAGGUAAGUGGAAUUCCGAGUGUAGAGGUGAAAUUCGUAGAGAUCGGGAGGAACAUCAGUGGCGAAGGCGGCCAUCUGGGACAACACUGACGCUGAGGCACGAAAGCGUGGGGAGCAAACAGGAUUAGAUACCCCGGUAGUCCCUGUCUUUAUACA